UGGAAGGUGCGGGAACGCUAUCUGUAUCGUUGAGUACUCCUAGCAGCGCAUUGCGAUGCAUAACUGGUAUUUCCCCUUGUCGUAGAUAAGAAAAACAGUCACAGUAAUUUUGCCUCCGCCGCACAGUAAGUGGGAAGAGUCAGAUACUGAAUUCGCAAGAGUGGACAACAGCAUCGCUGCAUGGCCUCGCUAAAAACCAGGUACCUGUUAAUUCUUCCAAAAAGGUUUCUUAAACUGGAUUUUGAAGGACUGUUUGUAGCAGAGGACUUCUUGCAAGGGGGGAAUACAAUUGACAGGAUCUUUGGUGGAGAAAUCUGACAGUUACCAUCUUAACCCAGUAACCAAAGUUCGCCUGAACAACUGGCAGACACCAUAAAGAAGAGAUAUAUGAUUUAUUCCACAUCACCCAAACUGGAAACAAGGCAGAAACAGGCAAGAGGAAUGCAAAGCUGGCCCCAAACCCUUCCUCAUGCUUUGUGGGUGUGAGGACCCACUUAUCCAACGGUUUUGGGGGAGUGAGAUGAAUGGACAGAAACUGGUGGCAGAUGUGUGUCCUGUUGCUGAGGAUCCAAGAUCACCUCCUGGGUGGGAGAGGUGUGUGAGGAAACCUUGCACUCUGUUCUGCUGGAAAAUUCUUGCACUGUGCCAAAACUGCUGCAGCAGAAGACGGGGCCAGAGGGACGGCUCAGAAUCAGACUCCAGAAAUUUUUAUGGUUGAGGUAGCAAAGGACCCCUGGGAAAGGACAGAAAGUGGAGGGAGGAGAAAGUGGAGAGUAGGAGUGACAAUGACAAACAGAGUGAUGGGGAAGUGAAGGUAAGUCCCUGGGGGACUUAGGGGUUACCUGCCCUGGGCGACCACACUUUCUCUGCCCUGACUGACCCACAUCCCUUCCUUCCCCCAGGGCCCUCUUGGCCACUCACCACAAGUGGCAUACAAGAUAAACACCAGCCAACCAAGGAAAUAGCUCCAGCCAAUGGGGAUUGAUAUAUUCCUCUUCAACUCAAAGAUCCAGAGAUUAAUAGGGAACAGCAGGAGGGUGAAGAAAAUGAAGGUUACUAGGAGGCAGGAAGUAGAGAGGUAUUAUUCUCACCCAAGAAGAAUCCCUCAGGGGCCUCUGUCUUGUCUGCUAAGCUCCAGCCACAAGCCGUACUUACACACAGAGUCCACAGCCCCACAGGCUCAAGAAAUCAGCCAGUCUACCUCCCAGUGACCAGAAAAUGAUGCAACUCCACUUUCAGUGUCUUUUCCCACCACCCCCAAGACCCCACCACCACCUCCAAAGAAGA